GGCCUGUUGGUGAAGCGACUUAACACAUGCGCCUUUCACGUGCACACUCCAUGGGUUUGAAUCCCAUACAGGUCACCA
rnacentral:tRNA from 1 species